AAAAUUCUGACUGUGACAAAAAGCAAAAUUCUGAAAAAGAUGAGCCUAAAAAUUCUGACCACAACGAAAAGCAAAAUUCUUUAAAUUCAAGACCUCUUCAGCCCUCAAUCGAUAACGAAACAAAUAUAACAUCAGAUAAGACAUUGUUAUCUGCAAAGAAAGAGAUAACGUUGCAUGAGAGAACUGUAGAAAAGAACAAAGAGGACUCGGAGGCACUUCAUAAAACAGAAAAUAGUAAGUUAGGUAAUGAAGAUGGAAGAGGUGAAACAGCGAAGCAAAAUGAAAACGACAUGGAAAUUGAGCACAAACGGCGGCUGAUAGCAGAGUACGGUGAGAAGACAGCGCUGCUGCGGACGGAGUACAAGGCGUGGAAGCUGCUGGGCAAACAGCGCAGGGAAGACAACGCUGCGGCCGUACGGGAUUAUAAGGAGUCCCGGAUGGGGAAGAAGCGUAUUGGGGAGGAGCAGCUGACGCAGCUGUCAGCCCCC
rnacentral:lncRNA from 1 species